UUAGAAAUAUUAUGUGAGAAGGCCCUAAAUCUAUUUUAGGCCUCAUUUGGUUAGAAGUUAGAUGGUUUUUGCCACCCAAGGAGUUCGAUCGCUUUGGAGUUUAAAGAAGGAAAACAUGUACGGCACAAAGUAUUUGCUAGAACAAAUAGAUUAAACUCAGGGGAUGCCUUUGUUGGAGAAGAUCUUUUGUGUUAGGGAAAUCCAGAUCCACAUGUUGCUAGUGCACAGGAAAAUCCAGAUCCACAUGUUGUGUUGCAGAAGAUUUAGGCAGUGAUGUUGAACAUGUCAUACGUGAAGAGGUAAUAGUUCAAGUAGUGAUAGGUGACUCUUUCGAGCGACUCAUGUGUGCCACAUACGCACAAGUACUUUAGAGGAGCAGCAGUUAAGUCAAGGUCAGUCAAGGCAAUAGCGACGUGUCCUUAUGUAAAAGUAGGAAAAAGGUAGGAAAAACGUACGUCUGAAAAUGGCAGCCGUAAACCACAGUUUUUCAGAUAAGCAGAAGUAGUUUUUCUUGCCACUGUAUUUCUCCUUUCUUUUUCCGAAGCGGAAAGGUCAACUAAGCCAAGGUCAAGAAAAUGAAGGUAACGAUGAUGAUGAUUAUGGUGGUAGUUACAGUAGUGCCGGAGGAGAUGGAGGCAAUCAAGUACAAGACAAUACGGAAGGAGGCCAACAAUACGAAGAACGUAGCCCAUCACCAGAGAAUCUCAAUUUACGCAUGCCAUACAAGACUCUAACCAUAACCAUAGAGCCAAUGGACGAAGAAUUGGAGCAAUAGGAAAACCUCCAUUUGUAGAGGAUCCGUGCAUGAUGAUGCUCAAAUUUAUACUGACUAGUUUCAAGAACGGAGAAGAUGAGUUUGAACAGUCGAUGUGGACAUGAAUAAUAUGUCUAUAACAAUAGUAAUUAUGGUUAUAAUUAUGUUGGGCUAGUA